GUAGGUGGCAAGCGUUGUCCGGAAUUAUUGGGCGUAAAGCGCGCGCAGGCGGUUUUUUAAGUCUGAUGUGAAAGCCCACGGCUCAACCGUGGAGGGUCAUUGGAAACUGGAGAACUUGAGUACAGAAGAGGAAAGCGGAAUUCCACGUGUAGCGGUGAAAUGCGUAGAGAUGUGGAGGAACGCCAGUGGCGAAGGCGGCUUUCUGGUCUGUAACUGACGCUGAGGCGCGAAAGCGUGGGGAGCAAACAGGGAUUAGAUACCCUGGUAGUCCACGCCGUAAACGAUGAGUGCUAAGUGUUAGGGGGGUUUCCGCCCCCUUAGUGCUGCAGCUAACGCAUUAAGCACUCCGCCUGGGGAUACGGCCGCAAGGCUG
rnacentral:rRNA from 1 species